CUUUACUGUAGCUUUGCAUUGGACUUUGACGGGAUUUGUGUAGGAUAGGUGGGAGGCUGAGAGACCCGGUCGCUAGAUCGGGAGGAGCCAACCUUGAAAUACCACCCUGGUGUCGUUGAGGUUCUAACCUGGCCCCCUGAAUCGGGGGUGGGGACCGUGCAUGGCAGGCAGUUUGACUGGGGCGGUCUCCUCCUAAAGUGUAACGGAGGAGUACGAAGGUCUUCUAGGCACGGUCGGACAUCGUGCUAAUAGUGCAAUGGCAAAAGAAGGCUUGACUGCGAGACUGACAAGUCGAGCAGGUGCGAAAGCAGGUCAUAGUGAUCCGGUGGUUCUGUAUGGAAGGGCCAUCGCUCAACGGAUAAAAGGUA
rnacentral:rRNA from 1 species